rnacentral:rRNA from 1 species
UACAGAGGGUGCGAGCGUUGUCCGGAAUCACUGGGCGUAAAGGGCGCGUAGGCGGCUUGAUAAGCGUGCGGUGAAAGCCCGGGGCUCAACCCCGGGUCGGCCGUGCGAACUGCUGGGCUGGAGCACUGUAGAGGCAGGUGGAAUUCCGGGUGUAGCGGUGGAAUGCGUAGAGAUCCGGAAGAACACCGGUGGCGAAGGCGGCCUGCUGGGCAGUAGCUGACGCUGAUGCGCGACAGCGUGGGGAGCAAACAGG